CUUCAGCGACCCCAGCCACAGCGGCCGGUCCCGGUCCUGCCCGUAGGUCGCCAGCAACGCCUGCGCCUC
rnacentral:antisense_RNA from 1 species